rnacentral:rRNA from 1 species
GACGAACGCUGGCGGCGUGCCUAAUACAUGCAAGUUGAGCGCUGACGGAUGGUGCUUGUACCCACUGGAUGAGCAGCGAACGGGUGAGUAACGCGUGGGGAAUCUGCCUUUGAGCAGGGGACAACAUUUGGAAACGAAUGCUAAUACCGCAUAAAAACUUUAAACACAAGUUUUAAGUUUGAAAGAUGCAAUUGCAUCACUCAAAGAUGAUCCCGCGUUGUAUUAGCUAGUUGGUGAGGUAAAGGCUCACCAAGGCGAUGAUACAUAGCCGACCUGGAAGGGUGGUCCGCCACAACGGGAACGGGAAAAGGCCCAAGACUCUACGGGAGGGAACAGUAGGGGAACUUUGGAAAUGGACGGAAGUCUGACCGAGCAAAGCCGGGUGAGUGAAGAAGGUUUUCGGGUCGGAAAACUCUGUUGGUAGAGAAGAACGUUGGUGAGAGUGGAAAGCUCACCAAGUGACGGUAACUACACAGAAAGGGACGGCUAACUACGUG